CCUACUUUAGUCAUCAGUUAUUAAUAUUUCUCAAUUUUCUCUAGCCUUAACCAUCCAAUUAUCGUGAAGUAUUACUUCCCUACUUUUUUUAACCUUCUUUUAUAAAGGAAUAAAGUGAGGCACGUGUGCCUCUUUGUAUGUACUUUAUGAAUAAGGAUCGGCUAACUCCGUGCCAGCAGCCGCGGUAAUACGGAGGAUCCGAGCGUUAUCCGGAUGUAUUGGGUUUAAAGGGAGCGUAGAUGGGUUGUUAAGUCAGUUGUGAAAGUUUGCGGCUCAACCGUAAAAUUGCAAUUGAUACUGGCAGUCUUGAGUACAGUUGAGGUAGGCGGAAUUCGUGGUGUAGCGGUGAAAUGCUUAGAUAUCACGAAGAACACCGAUUGCGAAGGCAGCUUACUAAACUGCCACUGACAUUGAUGCGCGAAAGUGUGGGUAUCAAACAGGAUUAGAUACCCGGGUAGUC
rnacentral:rRNA from 1 species